GACGAACGCUGGCGGCAUGCCUAACACAUGCAAGUCGAACGCGUGUAGCAAUACACGAGUGGCGGACGGGUGAGUAACGCGUGGGACCUGCCCAAUGGUAGGGAAUAACUGCGGGAAACUGCAGCUAAUACCCUAUGCUCCCUACGGGGGAAAGAUUUAUCGCCAUUGGAGGGGCCCGCGUCGGAUUAGCUAGUUGGCGGGGUAACGGCCCACCAAGGCUACGAUCCGUAGCUGGUCUGAGAGGAUGAUCAGCCACACUGGGACUGAGAUACGGCCCAGACUCCUACGGGAGGCAGCAGUGGGGAAUAUUGGACAAUGGGGGAAACCCUGAUCCAGCAAUGCCGCGUGAGUGAAGAAGGCCUUAGGGUUGUAAAGCUCUUUCGGCGGGACGAUGGUGACGGUACCCGCAGAAGAAGCCCCGGCUAACUUCGUGCCA
rnacentral:rRNA from 1 species